GUUAUUUUGUUCUGUGUUUUCCAUAAAGAAUUUUUAUGAUUUAUCUGAUUAAAUCCGAGGAUAAAUUUUUUAAAAGAGUAAAACUAGGCUGAGUGUAUGGUAUGAAGUCAUGACAAUGAAUGGAAGAUUUAUUGUAAUAAAGGAAUUGCGAUGCUUGCUUCCCGAUUGCCCAAACAUGCUCAUGCACUCUAUUUGGUUAGUGUAAUGUCAUUAAUGUAAUGUAAAAUUUAAUUUAUUUUUGUUGAGCACCACGAACUAAUCAACACUUGCUGUUUAGUGACAACCUUUUAAAUAACGUUUUCUAUCUGAGUGUUGUCUCACACAUGAAUGCACUGCUUCAAAAUUUUGUCUAGCUUACUGGUAAUGUGCACUUCUUUGCACUGGCUCAAAAAUCCUGGUGAGUCGGUACCUUUUAUUACUAUUGACAUGCUAAUGGAUGUAAAAUAAGAUAUUAACAAUUUUUAUUGAAAAAAAGUGGUAGUAUUUUAUUCUGGUUCGUGACGUGAAUGGUGCCUUCCGAUUGCCCGAGGAAAGAUCCUUAUAACACCCUACGGAUUUCUCGCGUUUCCGCAAAAACGAAGACGUGUUGUAAAACACAGACAGGACUGGACCAGGAAAAUGCGGACUGAGUCAGUGAUUUGUUGAAACACGGACUCAUUCCGUUAUUUUUAAAACAUGGACUAAGUCCACGUUUUACUAACCGCGGAGUGAGUCCAUGAUUUAUACAAGAAUUAUAUACACUCAGUAAUAGUGAGAAUAUCACUGGAAGAUUAAUUGAGUCUCGCUUUACAGUUUGGCUUCCUUAUGGCCACUCUAAAUUAAACUUUUGUAAAUGAACCACCGGCCCACGCUUAAUUUGAAAUAAGGGCCUGUGUGUGGUGGCCUAGGGGAGCGAUAUGCAUUUUUCUUUACCUUUUUCAGUUUUUCUUGUUUAUUUUUAAUUGUUUUAUACUUUUUAUAUAUAUUUUAUUUAUUUAUGUUUUAAUUUUUCCUUUAUUUCAUAUUUUCUGUGUUGGUACUGUGUACUUAGGUGAAUAUGAUGUUUGUGAUGUUAUUGCGAGUGUAUAUCCACAUCGGGCAAGCUCAAAAAAUAUGCCUGGCCACGGUGGGAAUAUUAUCAUUAUUACUUCAAUUUUGAAACUAUUUUUUAAAUUAACAUAAAAUAAGAAUAGUUACAUGGCGUAUCAGUAACAUGUAAUUUUUACAUUAAUUAAACAAUUCCGUGGCCUACCAGCCAUAUAAUUUUUAUAUUAAUUGAAAAAAAAAUCUAUUUCCAUGGCCUAUGAGUGCCAUAGACCAUAAUGCAAUUCAAGCUUCAAAGAGAGAAAAUAUGGCUGCCGACGGUAUGAGAAAAAGGCGAGUGGAUGGUUGGCAACUAGCGCCUAAAUACCUUCUGUGAUGUUGACUCGGAGAACUACGUGGUGUGAGUCGGGUUGUCGGGAAUUGUCGUCGAUAUACGAACGGUGGAGGACAGGACUCGCGCGGUUUGGUUGCCUUAGCAACGGGAAUAUCGUUUUUGGAACGUUGUAUUUUAUAGAGACAAGCUAUAUUUUAUAGAGAAGCUUUAUAUUUCCCUGUUAAAUUUUGGGGACAUUAUAAACGUAAGUCGUCAGACUUUUGACAUUGAACAAUCGUCUACCUUUCGUGUGUUAUAGCGUGUAUUUUUCUUUUAUUUUUAUCAGGGCGCUAUAAAACACGGGCGUGGAAACGCGCUUAUUAUCGCGUGAUGUAUGUGUGAUGCGCCAGAGAACUGGCACUAGCGCGCGUUUUGAGAGAAAAGCAAAAAGAAAAGCGAAAACACAGCGGAAAAAAGAUUGUUGUGCGACUUUGAAAGCCAGGGCAAAAAUGGACGUAGGACCUUUUUUAAUGUCAG
rnacentral:lncRNA from 1 species